rnacentral:rRNA from 1 species
AUGGCAAAAAAUCGGGAAAGAUGCCUCGAGCAUUCAAGGAGAAGAGUGAAGGAUUUGUGCCGUAUAUUGGCAGGUGAGAUAUCCUCUGAUUCGCAUGAGGAAGGUCCGGCUGGGCCCAAUUUUGCUAUGGAAACGGCUGAUCUGGUGACUCGUGAUUUGGGGAAAAAUUUAGAGGUGGUCUUUAAUCCUGAAUAUUUGGUAGUUUCUUUCACUAGUUUGGAAAGUAAGGAGAGGAAUCAGUCGGGACCACACAGGGGAAUAGCGAAUUUUUUGGCAGGUGGGAUUCCGCCGACAUCUUGUGAAGAUAAUAGCAUAGAAUCCAGAGGAUCCAUGAGUGUUUCGGAGGAGGAGGGGGCGAGAUUUCCACUUGGGAUUCACAUGCAAUUCAUGCAGUUUUGCUAUUUAAUCUAUCCAUUCCAGGUUUUAGUACGAGUCUUCAGCGGGAUUUGUUUGUGA